CCCCCCGCCGGCUUCCCAGCUCUGAGAUCUACUCUGCAGCCGCUCUUUCCAUCCGUCCCAUCUCUGCCCCUCCCAGGGGUUUGUCCCUGUCGCGCGGUUCGGUGCGACACGGCCCGGCCUGACAAUGGACAGGAAGGUGGCCCGGGAAUUCCGACACAAGGUAGAUUUCCUUAUUGAAAAUGAUGCCGAGAAGGAUUACCUGUAUGAUGUUCUCCGUAUGUACCAUGAGGCCAUGGACGUGUCUGUGCUGGUGGGCGACCUGAAGUUGGUGAUCAAUGAACCCAAUCGCCUGCCCCUAUUUGAUGCUGUCCGGCCCCUGAUCCCACUGAAGCACCAGGUGGAAUAUGAUCAGCUGACCCCCAGGCGUUCCAGAAAGCUGAAAGAGGUGCGCUUAGACCGCACGCAUCCUGAAGGUCUGGGCAUUAGUGUGCGUGGAGGCCUGGAAUUUGGCUGCGGCCUUUUCAUAUCCCACCUCAUCAAAGGAGGACAAGCAGACAACGUCGGGCUCCAGCUUGGUGACGAGAUCGUCCGGAUCAAUGGAUACUCUAUAUCUUCCUGUACCCAUGAGGAAAUCAUCAACCUCAUCCGAACCAAGAAGACCGUGUCCAUCAAAGUGAGGCACAUUGGCAUGAUCCCUGUGAAAAACUCUCCUGAUGAGUCUCUCAAGUGGCAGUUUGUGGACCAGUUUGUGGCAGAGACAGGGGGUGGGAGAGGUGGUCUGCCCUCUCUUGGGAGCCGAGAACACAGAGAGAAGAAAGUCUUCAUCAGUCUGAUUGGUUCUCGAGGCCUGGGGUGCAGCAUUUCAAGUGGCCCCACCCAGAAGCCAGGCAUCUUUAUCAGCAACGUGAAGCCGGGUUCCCUGUCAGCAGAGGUUGGACUAGAGACAGGAGAUCAGAUUGUUGAAGUAAAUGGCAUUGACUUCACCAACAUGGAUCACAAAGAGGCUGUGAACGUGCUAAAAAGCAGUAGAAGCCUGACCAUCUGCAUUGUUGCUGGAGCUGGCCGGGAGCUCUUCAUGACGGAGCGGGAGCGACAGGCAGAAGUGCGACAGCAGGAGCUGGAUCGGCAGGAGCUGAUGCUGCAGAAGCGUCUGGCAAUGGAGUCCAAUAAAAUCCUCCAAGAGCAGCAGGAGAAAGAGAGACAGAGGAAGAAGGAGAUUGCUCAGAAGGCUGCAGAAGAGAAUGAGAGAUAUCGGAAAGAGAUAGAGCAGAUCACAGAAGAUGAAGAAAGGUUCAAGAAGCAAUGGGAAGAAGAAUGGGGCUCAAAGGGCCAGCUACUGAUGCCUAAGACCGUCACAGCUGAGGUGCACCCUCCACCGCCACGCAAACCCAAAUUAGACGAAAAGGGAGUGGAGUCUCCACCACAUGCUGACGAUGACCUGAACGGAGGGGCCAAGAAUCAGCCAGUGCAGAAAGGGAAAGACAAGAAGAAAUCUAAGCAUGAUAGCCUUCAGGAACUCAGGAAGCACCAGAAGGAAAUUGAAUUUGAGCAAAAGCUUUAUAAGGAGAAGGAAGAGAUGCUGGAAAAGGAAAAACAACUGAAGAUCAACCGGCUGGCCCAGGAGGUAUCAGAGACUGAGCGAGAAGACCUGGAGGAAUCAGAAAAGAUUCAAUACUGGGUGGAAAGGCUUUGUCAGACCCGCUUAGAACAGAUCUCCUCUGUGGACAACGAGCUUUCAGAGAUGACCACCAGUCCCCCGUCUUCGGUGACGCUCCUGGCCCCACCCCUGCGACGCUUCGCUGGUGGCCUACACCUCCAUACCACUGAUCUUGAUGACAUUCCCCUGGACAUGUUCUAUUAUCCUCCCAAGCGCCCAGCCCCUCUACCGCUGCCUUCAGCGCUGCCUGUGAUGCCCCACCCCCCAACCCCUAACCUGCCUUCCAAGGUCUCAGCACCCCCUGUCAUUGUACCAGCUGGCCAGGCGUCCUCAUCUUCCACUUGGGUGCGUCGCCCACCACCCCCCCUCCCUCCUCCUCCAUCAGUUCCCACUCUGGACCUCAACCUAUCCCGCUCACUGCCUUCUGCCUUGGAAGAGGCCCUGGUUAACCAUGGUCUCCAUUCUGGAGAUUCAACUGAACCGGUGGAGGACUGGGAGCUAAAGAAUUAUAGUGGGAGGCCUGUGAGCUCCCCCCUCCCUGAACGAAGCUUCCCUCCAACUCCAAAGCUACUUUGUCCAAGUCCGAUGCCCCCAAGAGGCCCCGGUGUGUCCACCAUCUCCAAACCCGUCAUGAUUCCUUAUGACUUCAACUUCGUUGGCAGGCCAGUGGUCAGAUCCGAGGUCUUGCCGCAGGAGAUGCUGAAGAGGAUGGUGGUUUACCAGUCACCGUUCAGAAAAGAUUUCAGGAAAUAUGAGGAAGACUUUAACCCCUAUUCCAUGUUCCUCCCAGAGCAGAUCAUGGGGAAAGAUGUCCGGCUUCUACGAAUUAAAAAGGAAGGGUCAUUAGAUCUGGCUGUUGAAGGUGGUGUCGACUCCCCCAUUGGGAAAAUUGUGGUGUCUGCUGUGUAUGAAGACGGGGCUGCUGAUCGUCACGGUGGCAUUGUGAAAGGCGAUGAGAUCAUGGCAAUCAAUGGUAAGAUUGUAAUGGACUUCACCUUGGCAGAGGCCCAAGCAACCCUACAGAAGGCCUGGAACCAGGGCGGGGAUUGGAUCGAUUUGGUCAUUGCAGUGUCCCCACCCAAGGAGUACGAUGAUGAACUCUCUUCUCUUUCCUGCUCUGCAGACAGCAGCCCCCAGCCACUCAGAAAGAGCCUUGAAGGCAGCAUCCCCGUGCACAGACAUGGGUUUCUCCUGCAGCUGUAGCCCCGCAGCAUUCCCUCAUGGUGAAUAGACAGUCCUUCCAAGGCUAACCGUUCUGCGGCCAACCUGUCAUCUUGCGCAGGACAUUUUUCUGAAGUCCAGGAGACACCAAAUCCACGCCUAGCUGACAUCCGAUUCUUCCAUCUGACCCUGUGACUGGGCAUCUGCUUUUGGGAAUGUCAUAUCAUUCUGAUUUUAGUCCUCACAGAUCACGGGAUCCUUUUCUGGAAGGUUCCACAACCAGUCAGCGGGAUGUCUUCCCAUCUAUCAUUCAGCACUAAUGCUUCCUUGAGCCAGACUUGAACUGAGCAGCUCAGUCCUGCCCACCUCCUCUCUAGGCUGAAGCCCAGGAGAGCUGGGAGGGAGCUCCCAGGAGGGGACUGGGGGUGGAGGGUGACUUUGAUGAGACGGAGGAGAGUCCUUUAUCAGCGCAGUACUUCGCUAUUUCUAAUGCCAUCUCCUUACCUGUGAAUUUGGUUUCUCCACAACUCCUAAAACUCCACAGAGGACUAUGAGGAAUUAGAGCUUCAAAUCCCUCCCUCUAUCUAACCCC